CCUUGCCAGAGGAUGGCAGGCCACUUGUGGUUCUUGGCGAUUUCAACAUACACCAAGACAAGCCCCAGGCCAUUGAACUGAAUACUCUUCUGGCAUCAUUUGACUUGGAAAGACUACACACCACAGCAACUCACAGACCAGCACGGACUACACCACCCAGCCCCUGGCUGUCUGACGUCCUUCGUGAACAUCGGACUGAUCUCAGGGCAGCUGAGAGGAGAUGGCGGAAAUCUAAAGAUCCAGCUGAUCUAGCCCAACGACACCACAGUGACCGUUCGAAUCGCUGCCUGUCUGGCAGACAUCUCGGCCUGGAUGAAGGAACACCACCUUCAACUCAACCCUGCCAAGACCGAACUCCUUGUCUUUCCAGCCAACCCGGCUGUUGAACACAACAUCACCGUGCAGCUGGGUCCAACUACAGUUUCGCCUUCCAAAACGGUCAGAAAUCUAGGGGUAACCAUUGAUGAUGAGCUAAAUUUCA